rnacentral:tRNA from 1 species
GUGGGCGUAGCUCAGUUGGUCAGAGCGUCGGGUUGUGGCCCCGAAGGUCGUGAGUUCGAGCCUCAUCGCUCACCCCA